CGUAGCGGGGACACCGUCAUGCCGAGGUGCUUGUUGUUGGUCAGCCGCUUCAGCAGCCGCGUCUAGUGGUCAACAUGUAUCACUGCUGCUACACUAGUACUCACCGGCGAGACGGCGCCGUUGGGCGGCUGCGCGGGCAGCGGGGAGGGGGCGGCGCGCAGCGGGGACACCGUCAUGCCGAGGUGCUUGCUGUUGAUCAGCCGCUUCAGCAGCUGCGUCGCUUCGCCGCCGCG